AAGCCGCUUGCUACCUGGCGUGUCAGUUCUUAACUCUUGCCUAGGCGGUCAGGUUUUUACUGAUCAUGAAGAAAAUAUUCAUCCCUGAUCCCGCUAACCAACUACCUACCUGCCAGUCCUGGCUUUUUAAAUUUUGAAGUCUCCUUGUUGACUCAGGACCUCCUGGCUGCAGGCUGAAGGGACAAAAGUUGAUGUGACCAUUCAGUUUCCUGCUCUGCCUUCUACGCCUGCCAGUUGCCAUGGCUUCCAGCUGUGAUGGACGCUCAUCUCUGGAAUCAU